rnacentral:rRNA from 1 species
GACGAACGCUGGCGGCGUGCUUAACACAUGCAAGUCGAACGGAAAGGCCCUGCUUUUGUGGGGUGCUCGAGUGGCGAACGGGUGAGUAACACGUGAGUAACCUGCCCUUGACUUUGGGAUAACUUCAGGAAACUGGGGCUAAUACCGGAUAGGAGCUCCUGCUGCAUGGUGGGGGUUGGAAAGUUUCGGCGGUUGGGGAUGGACUCGCGGCUUAUCAGCUUGUUGGUGGGGUAGUGGCUUACCAAGGCUUUGACGGGUAGCCGGCCUGAGAGGGUGACCGGCCACAUUGGGACUGAGAUACGGCCCAGACUCCUACGGGAGGCAGCAGUGGGGAAUAUUGCACAAUGGGCGGAAGCCUGAUGCAGCAACGCCGCGUGCGGGAUGACGGCCUUCGGGUUGUAAACCGCUUUCGCCUGUGACGAAGCGUGAGUGACGGUAAUGGGUAAAGAAGCACCGGCUAACUACGUGCCAGCAGCCGCGGUGAUACGUAGGGUGCGAGCGUUGUCCGGAUUUAUUGGGCGUAAAGGGCUCGUAGGUGGUUGAUCGCGUCGGAAGUGUAAUCUUGGGGCUUAACCCUGAGCGUGCUUUCGAUACGGGUUGACUUGAGGAAGGUAGGGGAGAAUGGAAUUCCUGGUGGAGCGGUGGAAUGCGCAGAUAUCAGGAGGAACACCAGUGGCGAAGGCGGUUCUCUGGGCCUUUCCUGACGCUGAGGAGCGAAAGCGUGGGGAGCGAACAGGCUUAGAUACCCUGGUAGUCCACGCUGUAAACGGUGGGUACUAGGUGUGGGGUCCAUUCCACGGGUUCCGUGCCGUAGCUAACGCUUUAAGUACCCCGCCUGGGGAGUACGGCCGCAAGGCUAUAACUCAAAGGAAUUGACGGGGCCCCGCACAAGCGGCGGAGCAUGCGGAUUAAUUCGAUGCAACGCGUAGAACCUUACCUGGGUUUGACAUGGAUCGGGAGUGCUCAGAGAUGGGUGUGCCUCUUUUGGGGUCGGUUCACAGGUGGUGCAUGGCUGUCGUCAGCUCGUGUCGUGAGAUGUUGGGUUAAGUCCCGCAACGAGCGCAACCCUUGUUCACUGUUGCCAGCACGUUAUGGUGGGGACUCAGUGGAGACCGCCGGGGUCAACUCGGAGGAAGGUGGGGAUGACGUCAAGUCAUCAUGCCCCUUAUGUCCAGGGCUUCACGCAUGCUACAAUGGCUGGUACAGAGAGUGGCGAGCCUGUGAGGGUGAGCGAAUCUCGGAAAGCCGGUCUCAGCUCGGAUUGGGGUCUGCAACUCGACCUCAUGAAGUCGGAGUCGCUAGUAAUCGCAGAUCAGCAACGCUGCGGUGAAUACGUUCCCGGG